GCUGGACGGGUUUUCGCUUGUUCGAGCAGACAGGGAUGGAAACUCGGGUAAAUCCAGAGGCGGCGGUGUCUGCAUAUACGUCAAGGACAAAUGGUGCCAACAGCAUACGGACUAGACUAUGCACGGUGUCCAAGACAAAUUUCCCAGUGAUGGGACUAAUAAAGUAUAAA